CCUUGACGUUGCUUGCCGCUUUCCUAUUCUCAACUCUGCUCUAAGGCAGUCCAGCUUAAUCACCUCUCUACCCUUGACCACUCUCUACCCUUGUGACCUUCGGCCAUGACUCCUCUCCCGACCGCGACUCCGCACCCUCAUCCUCGACCUCAUAUCUUUAUCGACCUUUUUAGCCACAUUCACUAUCACUAUCUCUUCGCCAUGUCUUUCUCGGCAUUCUCUC
rnacentral:lncRNA from 1 species